rnacentral:lncRNA from 1 species
UGCUUAAUUAUUCAGAUUACAAAUUUUAUCUAAUUUAAUAAUUAUACUACUUAUUAAUUAUUAAUCAAUCUAGUUUUAUUUAUUAAAAAUAAUUAAAAUUAACAAGUUAAUAAAAUUAUUAAUAAAUUUGAUAAAAUUUUUUAGGUAAAAAAAAUAUAAAAAUUAUGUGAACUGUAGAUCAUUUUGAUUCGAUUAUUUGAUCUUUCAAAAUUUUAAUUUUAGUAUCUAAUUUUUUAAUUUAUUUAAUUUAAGUUAUUUUAUGGAUCAUCGGUUUAAAAUUUAAGAUAGAGUUUAUAAUUACAUGAACUAUAUAAAACGUACUAAUUAAAUUCGUAAAGACAAAUGAAUCACUCAAAUUUUAAAAUUAAAGAGCCAUAAUUACUCAAAUCAAAUAAAUUAAAAAAUUAAAUAGUAAAAUUGACCGUAUUUGUAUUUAAUCAUUUUCAUUCUAAAUAAUAAUAAUAAUAUUAUU